GGGAUGAACAAACCUCAAAUGUAUCCGAUGUUACGCCAGUAGCGUGGCUGAGUAGACACGUAUGGAAGGAAUAAUCGCUGAAGGCAUCUAAGUGAGAAACACACUUGGAGAUAAGUGUUCUUUUAAGUAUAAACUGAGACUAAGAGAUAGAUAGGUUGGUGGUGUAAGUGUAGUGAUACAUUUAGCUGACCAAUACUAAUGAUACGUAGGCUUUUAAUA
rnacentral:rRNA from 1 species